CGUUCGUGCCAGCGGGGGUGGAGGGAGCCCACCAUCUUCGCGCCGGCGGGGGUAGAGGGAGGGGCCGUCUUCGUGGCUGGGGUCGGUUGCUGUGCGGUGUUGGUACUGGGGUUGGCCUCUGUGCGACGUGGCGGAUGGCCUCGUGGAGCCCCAGCGGCCUAGAUCGCCCCCAGGAAGUGGAGGGAGGUGAGCGGCCGCUGGUACUCAGGUGAAGGCCUAACCCACGAUACGACAUCAACCUCCUCCAUAACUUGAAGUCUACCUCUUCCCGUGCUGGACGUCGACCGACGUGCGUUGGCGGCAGGGUGCGGUACCUAGCUCGUCGGCGGUAGGGGUCGUCCGGGGCUCUGCCUAGGUACGGCGAGGAGGGGAAGGGCCAGCUACGGCGAUCGUAUCGAGCCUGCCCUUGGAGGAGAGCCCACAAUAGUAGUAUAGUUGAUCCCUCUUCAGGUUUCUGUCCCCGCGUACGUCCUUAGCGAGUAGUCGCCACUAAGCAAGAUCCCUUGUAGCGGAGUCUGCCGCGGGCGACCACGCGGUUGUCGUCGGGUCACGCUAUGUUUUCACACCUACUGCGAAUGAAGGCAGGUGGUACGGAGCGAUGCCGCCGCGAACCUAGGGUGGUAGCACGGUGACCUAGGAGGCGGAAGUUCGGGGACGUAGAGGUCACUCGCGACACGCGCAUGCCAGGACUAGGUCACGUACGCCGAAGCUAGGUCGUACAGGGUCGGCGGCGGCAUGUUACGACGAGGCCGGCGACGAAACCGGCAGGUUCACGGGGUGGCUUCAGGCAGGCUCAAGGAGACAGGCACGAGGAAACACAGCUUCGAAGUCGUUUGCAACGCAGCUCGGUGACCGUGUACAAGCGUAGGAGGUAGUAGAGUGAAAAGAUGAUAAGGAGUACAAGAUCGGUAACCGUGUACACGCAGAAGUCGGUUCGCAACCAAGGAAGGAGGACAGGUUAAUACAUAACAAAGUUUCACUAAACUAUAGACUUCCAGUUGGAAUAGACGUCUACGUUUCUUUAAACACAAAACCAGGCAACCAAAGUCAAAUUGUCCUCGAAGUCAUUACCUUUUGAACUCAAAAGAAGGUUCAAAUAGAGCUUUUACGUACUGACGGCUGCCAGGUAAAUUAGUCUCUACUUUAUGAAAAUCUUCGUUUGCUUAGAUUCCGGGAGAGGGGCCCACCAAAAAUGGUCCGCUACAUGAGCACAGAUCACGGCAGUCACAAGUGAGUCCCCGUAUAAGGAAAAGAAGUCAAAACAUGUAUAUCAGCAUCUUGAUACAUUGAACCAGAUUCAUUCAUCCAUGUCUUCCUCUCCUCCCGGAAGAUGAGUCUGGCCGGCCGGUGAAGAAGUCUGACUACAAGUGUAGAUGAGGUCGAUCGUGGUGAGGACUUCACGGGGUUAGUAACGGCACGGUUUCUUAUCGGCUAACAAGUGGGUAUAAAACAAAGAGAAGACAUAUGUGACGUACACUAGAGAAGUACAAAGAUACUAAUAUUUCACAACGGCAAACAACGACGACUUACCACUCCACUCGUUCCCCUCUUCUAAUCGACGGUAACGAUCACAAAGAAGAAAAAAUAGAGACUUCAAUACACUUAGUUCAAUGUCCUUUAUCUUCUUUUUUUG
rnacentral:rRNA from 1 species